rnacentral:tRNA from 1 species
UGAUAGCUCAGUUGGUAUAGCAUCUGCCCAGUAAGCGGGAUGUCGCCAGUUCAAUUCCGGUUGGCAG